rnacentral:tRNA from 1 species
GCGGGAUUAGCUCAGUUGGUAGAGCGCGUCAUUUACACUGACGAUGUCGCGGGUUCGAGCCCUGCAUCCCGCACAA